UGAACGCUGGCGGAAUGCUUUACACAUGCAAGUCGAGCGGCAGCGCGGGGGCAACCCUGGCGGCGAGCGGCGAACGGGUGAGUAACACAUCGGAACGUACCCCGUCGUGGGGGAUAACGAGUCGAAAGAUUCGCUAAUACCGCAUACGACCUGAGGGUGAAAGCGGGGGACCUGCAAGGGCCUCGCGCGAUGGGAGCGGCCGAUGUCCGAUUAGCUAGUUGGUGGGGUAAGAGCCUACCAAGGCGACGAUCGGUAGCUGGUCUGAGAGGAUGAUCAGCCACACUGGGACUGAGACACGGCCCAGACUCCUACGGGAGGCAGCAGUGGGGAAUUUUGGACAAUGGGCGCAAGCCUGAUCCAGCCAUUCCGCGUGAGUGAAGAAGGCCU
rnacentral:rRNA from 1 species